ACCCUACGGGACGCGGCAGUGGGGGAUAUUGCACAAUGGGGGGAACCCUGAUGCAGCGACGCCGCGUGGGUGAAGAAGUAUUUCGGUAUGUAAAGCCCUAUCGGCAGGGAAGAAAUUGGACGGUACCUGACUAAGAAGCACCGGCUAAAUACGUGCCAGCAGCCGCGGUAAUACGUAUGGUGCAAGCGUUAUCCGGAUUUACUGGGUGUAAAGGGAGCGUAGACGGCCAGACAAGUCUGAAGUGAAAAUCCAGCGCUUAACGUUGGAAGUGCUUUGGAAACUGCCGGGCUGGAGUGCAGGAGGGG
rnacentral:rRNA from 1 species